rnacentral:rRNA from 1 species
AUGUCUGAUAGUCAUGAAACCGACAAGAAUAUUGAGAUGUGGAAGAUCAAGAAGCUGAUCAAGGGACUCGAGUCUGCUAGAGGCAAUGGCACAAGCAUGAUCUCUCUGAUUAUGCCUCCACGUGAUCAAGUCUCGCGUGUGACAAAGAUGUUGGGUGAUGAAUAUGGUACUGCUUCAAACAUAAAGAGUAGAGUCAAUCGUCAAUCUGUUUUGGGAGCCAUCACCUCAGCUCAGCAGAGGCUGAAGCUGUAUAACAGGGUUCCCCCAAAUGGACUAGUUCUUUACACUGGAACAAUUGUUACUGACGAUGGCAAGGAAAAGAAGGUCACAAUUGAUUUUGAGCCAUUCAAGCCCAUCAAUGCGUCCUUGUACCUUUGUGACAACAAAUUCCACACUGAAGCCUUGAGUGAGCUCUUGGAAUCCGAUGACAAGUUUGGCUUCAUCAUUAUGGAUGGUAAUGGAACUCUUUUUGGCACACUUAGUGGCAAUACUCGUGAAGUGCUUCACAAAUUCAGUGUGGAUCUCCCCAAGAAGCAUGGAAGAGGAGGGCAAUCUGCUCUGCGUUUUGCUCGCCUUCGGAUGGAGAAGCGUCACAAUUAUGUUCGGAAAACAGCUGAACUUGCUACUCAGUUCUUCAUCAACCCAGCUACCAGCCAGCCUAAUGUUGCGGGACUAAUAUUGGCUGGUUCUGCUGAUUUUAAAACAGAACUGAGCCAAUCUGACAUGUUUGAUCAGCGCCUUCAGUGCAAAAUACUUAAUGUGGUUGAUGUUUCUUAUGGUGGCGAGAGCGGUUUCAACCAGGCCAUUGAGUUAUCAGCUGAAAUUCUAGCAAAUGUGAAGUUCAUACAAGAGAAGAAGUUGAUCGGGAAGUACUUUGAAGAGAUUAGUCAGGAUACUGGGAAGUAUGUCUUUGGAGUUGAUGACACCCUGAAGGCUCUUGAAAUGGGUGCUGUUGAAACUUUGAUGGUGUGGGAAAACCUUGAUGUCAAUCGGUUUGUGCUUAAGCACAGUGCAACUGGAGAAAUUAUCAUAAAGCAUCUGAACAAAGAAGGUGAAGCCGACCAGAGCAACUUCCGUGAUCCAUCUACCAAUGCUGAGUUAGAAGUCCAGGAGAAGACCUCACUUUUGGAAUGGUUUGCUAAUGAAUACAAAAAGUUUGGCUGCACCCUUGAAUUUGUUACCAAUAAGUCUCAAGAGGGCUCACAGUUCUGUAGAGGAUUUGGUGGCAUUGGCGGUAUCCUCCGCUAUCAGCUGGACAUUCGCUCCUUUGAUGAUCUUGAUGACGACGAGGGUGUCUAUGAAGACUCUGAUUAG